GCCAAAAACCACAAAUCUCGAUGCAAUAAAAAUAAAUACGGAAAAUAAAAAGCACACCGAGAUUUACGUGGGAAAACUCCAACUUGGAGAAAAACCCACGGGACCAACACGCGAAAAAAUAAUUCACUAAGAGAAAAGAUUACAAGGUGAUUACCGACUCCACGAACUCUACCUCUCUUAACCUCCUAUGAAUCUUCGCGCUACCCUCCGGGUUGUCCACGCCCUCAUGUUCGAAUCCACGAACGCCUCCACUUCGAAUCCACGAAGCUUCAAUCACGCCGAAUCCACGACGCCACUCGAAUCCACGAGCCAACG
rnacentral:lncRNA from 1 species